CGUUAGCGGCGGCUACCAUGCAGUCGACGCCCCGCAAGGGGAGUGGCAGACGGGUGAGUAACACGUGGGAACGUACCCUUCGGUUCGGAAUAACUCAGGGAAACUUGAGCUAAUACCGGAUACGUCCGAGAGGAGAAAGAUUUAUCGCCGAAGGAUCGGCCCGCGUCUGAUUAGCUUGUUGGUGAGGUAACGGCUCACCAAGGCGACGAUCAGUAGCUGGUCUGAGAGGAUGAUCAGCCACAUUGGGACUGAGACACGGCCCAAACUCCUACGGGAGGCAGCAGUGGGGAAUAUUGGACAAUGGGCGCAAGCCUGAUCCAGCCAUGCCGCGUGAGUGAUGAAGGCCUUAGGGUUGUAAAGCUCUUUUACCUGGGAAGAUAAUGACGGUACCAGGAGAAUAAGCCCCGGCUAACUUCGUGCCAGCAGCCGCGGUAAUACGAAGGGGGCUAGCGUUGUUCGGAUUUACUGGGCGUAAAGCGCACGUAGGCGGAUCUUUAAGUCAGAGGUGAAAGCCUGGAGCUCAACUCCAGAACUGCCUUUGAUACUGGGGAUCUCGAGUCCGGGAGAGGUGAGUGGAACUGCGAGUGUAGAGGUGAAAUUCGUAGAUAUUCGCAAGAACACCAGUGGCGAAGGCGGCUCACUGGCCCGGUACUGACGCUGAGGUGCGAAAGCGUGAGGAGCAAACAGGAUUAGAUACCCUGGUAGUCCACGCCGUAAACGAUGGAUGCCAGCCGUUGGACAGCUUGCUGUUCAGUGGCGCAGUUAACGCUUUAAGCAUCCCGCCUGGGGAGUACGGUCGCAAGAUUAAAACUCAAAGGAAUUGACGG
rnacentral:rRNA from 1 species